rnacentral:piRNA from 1 species
UNGGAAUUCAAUGGCCUGGAACAGUGAC